rnacentral:rRNA from 1 species
AGUCGUUCUUGAAAUACCACCCUUGAAUUAUCUGAUGCCUAACCCGAUGAGGGGACAUUGUGUGGUGGGUAGUUUGACUGGGGUGGUCGCCUCCAAAAGAGUAACGGAGGCUCCUAAAGGUACCCUCAACACGUUUGGUAAUCGUGUGUAGAGUGUAAUGGCAUAAGGGUGCUUGACUGAGAGACCGACAAGUCGACCAGGUAGGAAACUAGAGCAUAGUGAUCCGGUGGUUCCGCAUGGAAGGGCCAUCGCUCAAAGGAUAAAAGGUAC